GUCGAGGACAAGCUCCUUUGUGAGUGUUGAAGGGACAUUGGGCAAGACCCCAAGACAGGCGCAGAACAAAAGGCAUCAACCUUUUGGACUUGUGUCCAUCGCGAGUUCCAUCAACGCAAGAAGUUUCCGCAGUACCAAAUGCAAAGCGCACGCGGGUGGGUGUCCACUUCGAAGCGAUGGAAGCUAAUCCAACAAGAGUGCAACAAGUUUUUUGCCACUCUUGUGAGCAUCAAGGCACGCCCCCAUGAGUGGCAUCGGCAAGACAUGGUAUGCAAGCAAGCGCCCCUCUUUGUGUCAUUCCGUUUAUGCUUGCAUGCCCAUUUCCAUAUCCAUUUGGCAAUAUGCUUGCAUGCAAUUCAUUUGCAGGCAUUCCAAUCUUUGAAGGCAUUCAAGGUGCAACACGAAGGCAAGUCCUUCAACCUCUCCCAUUGUUGGAGGGUCAUCAAAGACGAGGAGAAGUUCAAGCCGCAAUUUGCCGCCCUCAUGGUGCGUGGGGGGAAGAAAGCCGAGAAGGAGGUUGAGGAGGGAGAGAAGGCACGACCGCAGGGGAAGAUCCAACUCCAAGAAGGAGGACAAGCGGGAUGCGGCGUCGAUCGCCUUGAUCGCAACCGUGGAUGGCAUGAAGACCAAGAAGGACUCAAAGGAGGAGAAGCGCCGGCAAGACAAGGAAAAGCAAAUGAAUGCAUUCAUGGAGAUCCAAAGGAGAAGGCUUGA
rnacentral:rRNA from 1 species